rnacentral:rRNA from 1 species
UACGUAGGGGGGCAAGCGUUGUCCGGAUUUAUUGGGCGUAAAGAGCGUGUAGGCGGCUAGAUAGGUCCGUUGUGAAAACUCGAGGCUCAACCUCGAGACGUCGAUGGAAACCAUCUAGCUAGAGUCCGGAAGAGGAGAGUGGAAUUCCUGGUGUAGCGGUGAAAUGCGCAGAUAUCAGGAAGAACACCCGUGGCGAAGGCGGCUCUCUGGUACGUGACUGACGCUGAGACGCGAAAGCGUGGGGAGCAAACAGG